CCGUCCUCGUGCCGUUGAGGACGUUUGCUCAAGUCCGCUUUCAUCGAUUAGCCUUGAGAUGAUUGUUCUGUUACAAUCUGACGCGAUCAGGCUAGCUUAGUGUCACGUUUUUAGCCGAACUCGUCACCACAACGCUCUCAUCGGUUAAAGUCUCUUUGCCUUCAGACAUGUUGCCGUCCCUCGCCAUUGUGACCACGCUGAUCCUGUGCGCCACCGUAGCAGAGAGCACAGUCUUCCUGCAGCGCAGCGCAGCCGGGCAGAUCCUGCACACGUCCACCAGGAGGCGACGGGGCAACUCCAACACGCUGGAGGAGAUCUUUCCUGGCGACUUGGAGAGGGAAUGCUACGAGGAGAACUGCUCACAGGAGGAAGCGGCCGAAAUCUUCCAGUCUCAGGAAAAGACGCUGGAGUUCUGGUUCCGAUACACAAACCUGAAUCCAUGUAGGACCAACCCUUGUCUCAAUGGAGGCAUAUGCACUCUGGAGCGAGGACACUUCCUGUGCCUCUGUCCUCCUCGCUUCCACGGCCAGACCUGUCACUCAGAGGUGUCGCUGUGUCGCUAUAGGAACGGAGGCUGCCGGCAGUACUGCACGGACCAGCCGGAGGACGCCGGUGUCCAGUGCGGCUGCGCUGACGGCUUCAAGCUGGACUCGGACGGACGCAGCUGCUCCAAGACAGUGCCGUUUCCCUGCGGCAGCCAGCAGGUGUUGCUGCUGCGAGGUCGCUCCCUGUGGGAUCUGGUCGACCGGGUCAACGUCACCGCGGACGGCAACGUCACAUGGGAGGACAACGACAACGGUCGGUUCAACUGGACGCGCCAUGGCGACCAGGCGCCGGUCAACGCGUCUCAGCUGCAGGAAGUGGGCGGAGCCAGUGGGCUGGAUGAAAUGCUGAGUCCUCGCAUUGUGGGAGGAGCUUUGGAGAAGCCCGGCGGGAGUCCUUGGCAGGUUCUGAUCCGAAGGUCCGAUGGUUACGGCUUCUGCGGAGGAACGCUGGUGUCUGACCGCUGGGUGCUCUCUGCCGCUCAUUGCUUCCAGCAGAAGGCGCACCAUGUUACCAUAGGUGAUUAUGACAAGCAGCGUCGCGAUCCAGGUGAGCAGACAAUCAAGGUGCAGCAGGUGCUGAUCCAUCCUCACUUCCACGCGUUCACUCUGGACAGCGACAUCGCUCUGCUCUACCUGGCCCAGCCUAUCAUAAGAGGGCCCACCGCCAUCCCCGCCUGCCUGCCCGACCCCCACCUGUCCAAGUACCUGCUCAAGGAGGACAACAGGGGUGUGGUGACAGGAUGGGGGACCACAAAGUACCUGGGCAGGCCCUCGCGAUUCCUCAGGAAGGUGGCGCUCCCGGUGGUCAGUCACCGGUCCUGCAGCCUGUCUAGCGAGCAGGUGAUAGCAGCCACUGUGUUAGCGUCACGCUAGCACGGCGCUAGCAGAGUGUUGUCAGUUUGCUGGUGAGCAAAAGCAGAAGAAGGGUGUUUUCAAAAAAGGAUACCUGAAGGCCAGCAUCGACGCCUGCAGCGGCGACAGCGGCGGCCCCUUCGUGGUCCACUACAGGGGCACGUGGUUCCUGACCGGCAUCAUCAGCUGGGGCGAAGAGUGCGCCGCCACCGGCAAAUAUGGCGUCUACACCC